rnacentral:lncRNA from 1 species
CACCUCAAAUAACUUCCCCAAGAUAUCAGUGGAUGUCUGGCUGAAGUUCUUAACCUUUACUUUAUACUCACUAACAGCAAAAAUGAGAAGAACCACUUUUCAAGAAUGCAAAUUUUGUUCCAGGAACAUUCAUUAUCUCACUUCACCUUUGUGCUCCUGUGAGUAAAUAAUGUCUCUGUUCUACAGAUGAGGAAACCAAGGCUUCGAGGUACCCAAUAACUGGCUUAAAGUUACUGUCAAAACACAGGGCCCUCAUACAUGCUUCUACGGCAGUCUUAAUCCAUGCUUCAUUCUCCAAGAUUUGCCUCAUACUUCUGCCACGCUUAUGCCAACACAUCAACUGCGCUUUAUGGAGCUUCCAGCUCACUAUAUCACGUGUUGAAUGCUAGUAAAUAAUGGAGCUGAAACUCUGGAAUUGCAAAGAGGAUAUAAAUUGUGAUCCUACUAUUUCUAGUCAGAAAAGUUUAAAACUGGCAUCUGUGGCCCUCACUUCUCUGCCAGACUCCAUGUCCCGAAGGCUGACCUUGCAGAGUGCACCACCUGGGCUACCUGUUCAGUUCAACCAACAAGAAUUGUCCUCUUCCACUGCCUCAAUGCUAAGGAUCCAACUGUGGCUUCUCCUUUUAUAACAACUCCUGAUAGACUCUUACCAUAACACCAGCUCUCCCUAAGAUCCAAAAACAUGAUUGCCUCCCCUGUUCCUUUAGGCCUAACAGUAAUAUCAUCUUCUUCUUACAGCCAUACGUGGGUGCCGUAGGAUCCCUUGCUGAUGUGAUCCAUUCAUAGUUCUAUAUAAGGUGCCUUCAUUCAAUUCUCAUCAGAGCCUAAUGUGACUGUGCAUUUUCAUCUUGCCAGGCCCCUGAGUGAUAUAACAAAUACUUAUAACAGACGGAAAUGGUGGAGGACAAGGGACCCCACUUCAGAGCCCCUACCAUAGGCCAAGCAGACAGCCAAGUAAUUUUAUGGUUGAUAAUAAAUGUCAAUCACUCUGAAGAAAGGGGUGUGAGGCAGGGUAAGACAAAGCGGGUGUCACAGGAAUUUGAGACAUAGGUUUCAGAUCCUUGCCAUUAGGUACUCCUAUUUCCCCAACUCAGAAUUUGAUAAAAGAAGGAGAAUCAGAACUAAUCCAUUCAGUUAGCCUGAAUAACAGAAAUGCUAGAGUGUAAAAUGUAGAUGUAAAAUAUUCUUCCAAGUUUGAAUGCAAUUUAAAUAGAAAGAGUGAAGGAAAGAGCAAGUAUUUAACUUUUUUUUUGUACCAUUCUAUGUACCUUAGUGUAGCACAGAGGUGAGCAGACAUAAACAUGAUUAAUGAAGUGACUAAUGUCCUCACUUAAAUCUCUGGAAUGGUUUACAAUUUUAAAAGGGUAUACCAUCAAAAGGAUGUGUUCCCCCCCCUUCACACACACACACACACACACACACACACACACACACACGUUUAAGCAUGACUUAAAUAAUAGAAAAAAUAGUAACCAGUGGCAAGUGUCUAGCACAGGAAUGAUGACGGGUCCUGAGUGCUGUGGAUUGGAUCGGGAAUGUGCUCUAAAGGCCCAUAUUCACAGCCUCGGUCUAUAGCGUGGUCCUAUUGAGAGGUUGGGGCAACACUAAGGGGUGAGGCCUCAUGGGACGUUUUAGGUCACUGAGGCUGCACUUGAUGGGGAUUGUGGACCCUGGAAUCUUUUUCUUUUUCUUUUGGUUCCCAGCCAUGAGCAAAUAGCUUUGCUCCUCCUCCCUGCUCUCCUACCAGGAUGUGCUGCUCUGCCACAGGUCCAAAAGUAAUGAGGCCAACCAACUAUGGACUGAAGCUUCCUAAACUGUGAGCCAAACAAAACCUUUCUUGUGAUAAAUUGAUCAUCUCAGAUAUUUGUUUUAGUAAUGGAUAUCUAAGAUAGAAAAUUCUGGGUUAGGCCUUAGCAACCACCACAGUUAGAUGAUUCAAAGGUUAUCUUAUUAAAAUAUUCUAAGUAUCAGUUCUGUCAGGAAAAAAUAACUGCGAUCUUUUUUAUCAAUAUUUUUUCUUUUUUUGCAAGUUUUUUUAAAAAGUAGAACAGAAAAGGUACUUUAGAUCCUUUGUGCACAACCUAUAACCAAACAAAAUAACCACAGCCUAGGG